rnacentral:snRNA from 1 species
AUCGCUUCUCGGCCUUUGGGCUAAGAUGAAGUGUAGUAUCUGUUCUUAUCAGUUUAAAGACACAAACAGUGCGUUUGUUCCACCUCAUUGACCCUAUAGGGCAGAGUGGAACUGCC